rnacentral:rRNA from 1 species
AGAGUUUGAUCCUGGCUCAGGAUGAACGCUAGCUACAGGCUUAACACAUGCAAGUCGAGGGGCAGCAUGGUCUUAGCUUGCUAAGGCCGAUGGCGACCGGCGCACGGGUGAGUAACACGUAUCCAACCUGCCGUCUACUCUUGGACAGCCUUCUGAAAGGAAGAUUAAUACAAGAUGGCAUCAUGAGUUCGCAUGUUCACAUGAUUAAAGGUAUUCCGGUAGACGAUGGGGAUGCGUUCCAUUAGAUAGUAGGCGGGGUAACGGCCCACCUAGUCUUCGAUGGAUAGGGGUUCUGAGAGGAAGGUCCCCCACAUUGGAACUGAGACACGGUCCAAACUCCUACGGGAGGCAGCAGUGAGGAAUAUUGGUCAAUGGGCGAGAGCCUGAACCAGCCAAGUAGCGUGAAGGAUGACUGCCCUAUGGGUUGUAAACUUCUUUUAUACGGGAAUAAAGUGGAGUAUGCAUACUCUUUUGUAUGUACCGUAUGAAUAAGGAUCGGCUAACUCCGUGCCAGCAGCCGCGGUAAUACGGAGGAUCCGAGCGUUAUCCGGAUUUAUUGGGUUUAAAGGGAGCGUAGAUGGGUUGUUAAGUCAGUUGUGAAAGUUUGCGGCUCAACCGUAAAAUUGCAAUUGAUACUGGCAGUCUUGAGUACAGUUGAGGUAGGCGGAAUUCGUGGUGUAGCGGUGAAAUGCUUAGAUAUCACGAAGAACUCCGAUUGCGAAGGCAGCUUACUAACCUGUAACUGACAUUGAUGCUCGAAAGUGUGGGUAUCAAACAGGAUUAGAUACCCUGGUAGUCCACACGGUAAACGAUGAAUACUCGCUGUUGGCGAUAUACAGUCUGCGGCCAAGCGAAAGCAUUAAGUAUUCCACCUGGGGAGUACGCCGGCAACGGUGAAACUCAAAGGAAUUGACGGGGGCCCGCACAAGCGGAGGAACAUGUGGUUUAA